rnacentral:rRNA from 1 species
GAUGAACGCUGACAGAAUGCUUAACACAUGCAAGUCGAUGGGGAAGUGGUGCUUGCACCAUGGCAACCAUGGCGGACGGGUGAGUAACGCGUAAGGGACUUACCUGCAGGACUGGGAUAACAGGGGGAAACUCCUGACAAGACCGGAUAAUGUCAUGGAGCUGCAUGGCUUUAUGAUGAAAGGAGACGCCUGCGGAGAGCCUUGCGUCCUAUUAGCUAGUUGGUGAGGUAAUGGCUCACCAAGGCGAAGAUAGGUAGCCGGCCUGAGAGGGUGGACGGCCACAGGGGGACUGAGAUACGGCCCUUACUCCUAGGGGGGGCAGCGGGGGGGAAUAUUGGACAAUGGGGGCAACCCUGAACCAGCAAUUCUGUGGGCAAGAAGAAGGUUUUGGGAUUGUAAAGUGCUUUCAGCAGGGAAGAAGUAAGGGACGGGACCGGAAGAAGAAGCAACGGCAAAAAACGU